rnacentral:rRNA from 1 species
AUUGAACGCUGGCGGCAUGCCUUACACAUGCAAGUCGAACGGCAGCACGGGAGCUUGCUCCUGGUGGCGAGUGGCGAACGGGUGAGUAAUGCAUCGGAACGUGCUCUGAAGUGGGGGAUAACGUAGCGAAAGUUACGCUAAUACCGCAUAUUCUGUGAGCAGGAAAGCAGGGGAUCUUCGGACCUUGCGCUUUUGGAGCGGCCGAUGUCGGAUUAGCUAGUUGGUGGGGUAAAGGCCCACCAAGGCGACGAUCCGUAGCGGGUCUGAGAGGAUGAUCCGCCACACUGGAACUGAGACACGGUCCAGACUCCUACGGGAGGCAGCAGUGGGGAAUUUUGGACAAUGGGCGCAAGCCUGAUCCAGCCAUGCCGCGUGAGUGAAGAAGGCCU